rnacentral:lncRNA from 1 species
UUGCAGCAAUGUGGAUGGUAAUGUGGCAAUGUUGCUAAAAUAUGCUGCAAUAUGUCACAGCUUUCUACAUCAAAUAUAACUAAUCGAAGUAUUAAAUUUGGGUAACAUGUAACUCAUGUUUAAUACAGCUAGAAACUAACUCAUGUUUGGGUAACAUGUAACUCAUGUUUAAUACAGAUAUGUCACAACAUAUUGGAGCAAUGUUACUAAAAUAAGCUGCAAUAUGUCACAGCAUAUUGCCUAGUUGUGUGGGAACUUUGGAAAUAAGAAACUGGUACAGUAGUAGUUACCACACAACUAGGCAGUGAAGCAUAAUAUGAUCAGUGCUCUACCUGCUCCUUCUGCACCA